UUGAAAGGGAAACGAUUGAAGUCAGUCGUGCAGUCAUCAACUCAGCGGGUAGCGUAGGUAAUUUAUUACUUUCGUUUUCCGUGUACUUUGUUGUCUGCUGGUUAGCAUCAAUUUUGAUUGUCAUAAAAAGGUUAAGGGGAUGUGGCUCCUUCGGGAGUGUUAUAACCCUUAGCAGAAUGUGGCGAUUGGGAUUGAGGAUUGCAACGAAUACCUUUAGGGCAGUUCCGUCUGGUCUCUUGUUGACGUUCAGAUGGCAACAGCUUGCUUUUGUUGUUUGAAUAGUUAGCAAAUAGAUUGGAAUGUGAAUAAUUCGUUAAGGAUGUUGACGUA
rnacentral:rRNA from 1 species